ACGCUUUUCAAAAUGAAAAAAUCGGGGCAUUCUAAAGCGCUAUCUUCAUCGACCCUCUUAUCUUCAUCGACCCUCUUAUCUUCAUCGUCCUUCUCCUUCAUAGACCCUUACAGACCCAAAACAUAAAAUCCCUAGCUCACAGACCCUCUUAUCUUCAUCGUCCUUCUCCCUCACUCCAUUGUUCUGUUCGCGAGUCAUGGUGGUCGAGCUCUGAAUUCCGACCACCUUGGAUGACCCAUUCGAGCACGUAAUGGUGUCGCUCUACCUCAGUUUGCUGAACAACGAUCCCAGAGUUAACCGUCAUGUUAUGGGCUUCGAGCCUGAGCAAAUUAUGAUUCGGUUUCGAUAUCCUGGAUUACAGGUUUGUUUCUGGACCAUAGAGAGGAAGCCGAGAAAUCAUUUGUUAUGCGAAGCUAAGCUCUCAAACAAACUCCAAUCAGUAAUCAGUGGAAAGCCCUUUCUUUUCUGGGUAUGUUCUUCCUUUGUUUCCCCUAACAAACCCACCAAAACAAAUAUGCAAUUGCAUUUUCAAGUGUCAAGUCUCUUGCUUUGUUUCCCUGCGCCCGUGAAUUGAAUUGGGUGUGUGCAGAUUGGAUUUUAAAGCUUGUGCUAUAUAAUGGAGGAUGUCCAGGAGCAGCAAAGUGAAUCACUUGUCAUCCACCAAUAGCUUUUGGUUUGUCUGGAGACCUUGAAUUUGCUCUCGAAGCCAAGAAGUUACAAGUUCAACAUGGGAAUAACACUGUGAAUUCCUUUUCAAGUAGUGGUGGUUGCAUUCUAGACUUGCUGCAUGAAUCUAAUCGCUGUCUUGGUUGCAUGCGAUAUCCCUCUGUGGGCAACAAUGAGAGGACAGGAUGUAUAGCGGCUUCCAUCAGCCUCAACUUGCUACAAUACUUUGAAGCUUCCAACUUACAAGCUUCAAGCACGUCGAGAGCAAAGCUUCUAUAUGCAAUCAGUUCUAAUGCAGGUUUUGAACUUUCUUGAAGAUAAGCCUUCAGGACACAUAAGUAAAUAGGUAGCAGUGCUCAAAUGAAAAAAGAAAAAGAGAGAGAGAGAGAGAGAGAGAGAGAGAGAGAGAGAGAGAGAGAGAGAGAACUUUGUUAGAAUGGUGAAGAUCAUCAUUUUAGAGGAAGAUAUAUCAAAGCACAUCAAUUACAACUGUUGUAUGUGACAAGUUGCAUAAGCUUGCCCAUCUUUCUCUUGGAUUUGGUUGCCAUGGAAGUACUGAAGUUGUGUUAGGUUUUUAAAUUAGUUUUCAAGGGACAUGUACUUGUGAACAUGAUCAAUAAGUGAUAAUGUGGAUUGUCUUCAGCAAUACAAUGUAUUUAUUUUAGUACAAUUUCUAUUAUAUAGAAGUUUGAGUAGCAUUGGAGUUC